rnacentral:misc_RNA from 1 species
GCGUUUGAUUGGAUGAUACGUUAAUGCAGCUGGAGGUUUUGAGAGCUCGGUACACCUAUAUAUAUAUAUAUAAUGUAGUAACCGUAUUAAUGUAGGUGGCUGUUUGGCUACAGUUACUUCUUCGUGAUACAAGAUUAACAACGACCCCAAGACCAGCGAAGAGGGAGCAGCCUCUAUAUAAGGACGCCCGUAUCGUAUUUCAUAAGAUAUAACUUGACAUGAAGUAGAGAUGUAUAUACUGCCUUGCAGACAUGUCAGAAUAGGUUAAACCCAUGAGUUAGGAAGACGUCUACAAAACCAAGAAAUCCCAAUACUGAAACUCAUAGUAGCAAUGUUUGCCCGUUUUUCCUAUUUGAACCUUAUCACUAUACCUGCACCAUCAUCAACUUUCGUUUAUUCAAAUGACCGAUGACCCCGGAAGAACGGGUGGAGCAUGCGCAGAAACUAAAGUUUCAAUUCAUAUUGAGAUUUUUUGAAUUUUCUUCAUUUAUGAAAUAAUGUGGAAUGUUUUGUAGCAAACUAGAAAAUUAAUUUAUAAUUAGUAUUGAUUUUUAAAAGUAGGAUUGUUAUUAUGCACAAACAUUUGAUUCUAUUCUCAUUUUUAUUCCAUUGCCAAAAUGUAAACCAAAAAAAUAUACAUUAGGUAGACUGUAAUUGAUAGUGAUGAUGGGUUUUGUGCAAUAAUUUGUGGAUGAAAGUUCACCGAUUUUUUUUUUUCCUUUAUAUAGUUAACAUGUUGGAUAUUUUCACUUGUGAUUAUAUCUUUGUAUGUAAAAUCAAGUUUUAACCUUACUUCGAAGUAAAAUGAAAGUUUUG